rnacentral:rRNA from 1 species
UGCAAAUACCGACGUAUAGGAGGUCUUACCUGCCCAGUGACAAGUUAAACGGCCGCGGUAUUUUGACCGUGCGAAGGUAGCGCAAUCACUUGUCUUUUAAAUGAAGACCCGUAUGAAUGGUGAAACGAGGGCUUAACUGUCUCCCUUUUCUAGUCAAUGAAAUUGAUCUGCCCGUGCAGAAGCGGACAUAAAAAUACAAGACGAGAAGACCCUUUGGAGCUUAAGAUACAGGGCCAUCUAUGUCAAGAGCUUAAAACCGCUACAAACUAAGUAGUAACUGACCUUAAUCUUCGGUUGGGGCGACCACGGGAGAAAACAUAGCUCCCACGCGGACUGGGUUUAUACCUAAAACCAAGAGAGACAUCUCCAAGCAACAGAACUUCUGACCACGAAGAUCCGGCUGCCAUGCCGACCAACGGACCAAGUUACCCUAGGGAUAACAGCGCAAUCCCCUUUCAGAGUCCAUAUCGACAAGGGGGUUUACGACCUCGAUGUUGGAUCAGGACAUCCUAAUGGUGUAGCCGCUAUUAAGGGUUCG